GGGUCAGUAGGUUGGUCGUGCCACCGGUACGUACUGGUCUCACUGAUCCCUCCUUCCUGAAGAACCGUAAUGCCAUUAAUUUGGUGUUGCGGGGAAACAGGACUGUUACUUUGAAAAAAUUAGAGUGUUUAAAGCAGGCUAACGCUUGAAUACAUUAGCAUGGAAUAAUGAAAUAGGACGAUCGAUCCUAUUUUGUUGGUUUCUAGGAUUGACGUA
rnacentral:rRNA from 1 species